CUCUUCACGGGAGCGCAUCGUACCAGCGACGGAGACGCCAGUUGGAGCUCCGGCGGAGACCAUCGCCGCGCCGGACCGUGAGGAGGGACCGGCUUCUUUUAUUGCCUUUUGGAAAUAAUCGCAGUGAUCGAUCUGCGCGGUUUGCCAGAGCGCCAGUCAGUUUGCAAGGAUACUUUGGACGCGUAAAGAGGAUUUAAUGUUGCCGUUACAGCACUGACACACGUGGAGGAGCUAUUAUUAUUAAUAUUAUUAUUAUUGGUCAAAGUUGAUGAUGGCAACGUCUGAUGGAUUCAGCACCCGAGCUGUGAAUUAUCCUGUCGGAUUUAAGGAAAUACUGUCUCUUACACGGGAUGAGUGGUGUCCAUUACUCCCGCUGCCCAACUCCUUCUGCUGGACACGCCGUUUGGCGGACAGACGAGUCUCUUGGGAUACUUCACGCGUGUGGCCGGGGUCAUGAAGGGCCAACGCCGUGAUACGCUUUUCGGAAAUCGAUAUUUGGUCACGGCGGAUUCGGGCGCAAGGAAAGGAAUACCCUGGAAUAUAUUUUGAAAGCGAUGCUCAGCAGAUGUCCGGCAGUUUGGAUAAUGACUACGCGUCUCCUCAUCCAGCAGUGACGGAAUCCGAAGCUCUUGGAUUGAGACGUCAACCUUUAAUUGCUUCCCGGGGAUCUUGUGAUGAUCUCAGGUGAGCGACGAGGGGGAGCUGACUCAUGGAAACAUGAUCUCAAGAGAUUCAACCGGAUCACACUAAAUCCUGGUUUGGACUGCGGACCAGCAUCCCCUGCGGCAGAUGUUUGCUCCUGGCGUGGCUGCGAAACAGCGUGAGCUCCGUGACUGACAGUCUCGCUCUCGGGAUCCAGCGCCGGCAGCUUGGACGCGGAGGAGCCGUGACAUAAACUCAGCGGGACAGCGAGGCGUAAUCUGCCGCUCAGACAUUAUGGAACAGAUCCGUCAAGCCUGUCUGGAGCGCUGCUUGAUAGGAAAGUGAGCUCGAUGAAUGUACCGGAGUUACCACAAUGGAUCAACACAUUGUUUCACUUCUUCUAAAUUGAACCUGGAUUAAUAUUUUCCCUUAAUAUACAUCUGCUCUUGAUAUUCUAUUGCUCCUAUGCUGCAGUUGUGACAUAUGCUGUUGUGUUCUGGGUACAGUAUCAACAAGCACUGGAACUGUAAAUGGAAAAUAAUCAAAUGUUAUUUUUUAUUCCGUCCAUAUGGACCAGAAAGCAGCACUUCCACCAGUGCAGUCACACACAAAGUUUAUCUCCCGAAAAGAGCGUCAAAUUAAUAAAUAUGCAUGUGAUCGAGGUUUCUCAGAAGGAUUACUCAUUCACUGGAAAUGUGACAUUAUCAUUUGACAUCUUGUAAUUGCCAUCACAAAGAAGCCUUUGUGAUCAAGGUGCUGAUGAAUGCAACCCAAAACCCUCUGUUAUUGAUGCUGCAUUUCAUUGUGACACAUUGGCAGCCUGUGUUGAUAUUGAUUAAUAAUCCUGUCAAGGUGUUUAUCCUCAUGAUGAUUUAUAACCUCAUAGUGUUUGUUGUGUCUGUGAAAACCUGUUAGCGGAAUAAAAAAAGAAAGAAAGAAAGAAAGUUU